rnacentral:rRNA from 1 species
AAUAGAUACCCGGGUAGUCCAUGCCGUAAACGAUGUCUACUAGCCGUUGGGGCCUUUGAGGCUUUAGUGGCGCAGCUAACGCGAUAAGUAGACCGCCUGGGGAGUACGGUCGCAAGACUAAAACUCAAAUGAAUUGACGGGGGCCCGCACAAGCGGUGGAGCAUGUGGUUUAAUUCGAUGCAACGCGAAGAACCUUACCUGGCCUUGACAUACUAAGAACUUUCCAGAGAUGGAUUGGUGCCUUCGGGAACUUAGAUACAGGUGCUGCAUGGCUGUCGUCAGCUCGUGUCGUGAGAUGUUGGGUUAAGUCCCGCAACGAGCGCAACCCUUUUCCUUACUUGCCAGCAUUUCGGAUGGGAACUUUAAGGAUACUGCCAGUGACAAACUGGAGGAAGGCGGGGACGACGUCAAGUCAUCAUGGCCCUUACGGCCAGGGCUACACACGUGCUACAAUGGUCGGUACAAAGGGUUGCUACUGCGCGAGCAGAUGCUAAUCUCAAAAAGCCGAUCGUAGUCCGGAUCGCAGU